rnacentral:lncRNA from 1 species
ACAAUUGAAUCUCGAACUCGCCACUGCCUAACACAUAAGGCAAGGAUCUCUAAUUAGACCNAAUUUCUCUUUCCCUCUCUAAUCGGGUAGUGGGUAAAAGACCAUUUUACCCCUCUAUGAUCUCUAUUACUUAUGUUGACCAAAACCCCAAAGUCAACAGAAGUCAAUUCAAGUCAAAGGUCAACUCUGACCAGACUCGUCAAGUGCAUAAGAAUGACUCGGCGAGUCCAUGCGUGUCCUCUGAAUCCUCAAAAGCCUUACUCGACUCAUCGAGUUAACCUUUCACUCGACGGGUUACCACUGGUCACGAAUCGCGGGGCAACCCGACUCGACUCGUCGAGUCCCCAUAUGGACUCGGCGAGGUCCCCCCAUGGCAACACUGAAAAGACCUUCUAAGGUCAGAUCUGUUUCUCUAACUUAUAGAUCUGACCUUCUUACACCCAAUAAUCAUGCAAACGUUCAAUCUUUAAGCUCAUGCAACUCUCUUAUGCCCGUAAAUGAAGAAAUAGCUCCUAAAAUGGCAACCUAGAUCCAUAACCCCAAAGGGACUGCAUAAAGCUAGAAGAUUGGGACUCUUUGGACCUCUUAAGGUCCAGAUCUAAAGCUUAUACCACACUGGGAUCUCGUAUGCAUCAUAUACUAUCGAAGAAAGGGUAAAGAAAACCCAAGAUUCAUGGAUUUUUACACAAAACAGAAGGAAGGGGCAAAAUACUACCUCAAAAUAGAGAUCCUUGCUUAAAUGUCUUAGAAAAACAACCUCCAUUGGUCCUUCAGCUGAAUCCCUUCGCUUCAUUUGAAAAACCACACCAAAAUUACUUGAUUUCAUCACAAGAACUCUUCCUUGGCUCCAAUGGUGAUUUAAGGUUCCUUACAGGAGAUAUGAGGCGCACCCAAGGUCAUAAGUUCCUUUAAAUAGGCUCCAACCCUGGAACUUAGGGUUUUCUCUGCCCAGUACCUACUCGGCGAGUCCAUCCUAGGACUCGUCGAGUCCGCUCAUUAAAUCCACGCGGCAAAUCUCUACUCGACUCAGCGAGUUGGUCCCUCAAUUCGUCGAGUCCCUCCUCAAAUCUCAAGAUUAAUAUACCCAAUAAUGUCCCUGAAAAUCCGGAUGUUACAAUUCUACCCCACUUGAAUUAGAUUUCACCCUCGAAAUCACUCCUUAAUCACUUAUAGAUCGAAAUUAUCAACCCGAAGGCACUACUGAAAUGAUCUUCAUACUACACCGAUAUCUUUCUCUAUGGACACGCGAAACCACAUAAAACUUCCAAAACCAAAAUUUAAACCAACUCUUUCAUCGCUAAAAUACUCCUUCCCAAUACCCGAAAACUCUAGUGGCUUGACCCACCACUUGACCGCCUACUCGAGCGAUCACCAUGAUAUUCGCUCCUCGAAUAUCAACCCUGUUUACUCACUAGCUCACUGAUUCUCAUAAGACCACAUCCAACAACCGGCUAUCGCCCUCCCAAACCGAUCAUGCUAAAUCAUACGAAUCACGCCCCACGACUAAAAGGGGUCACAUUCCACCUGGGCACAUCUACUAAACUGCUAUCAGAAACCAUCCGAUCAAAGAAUCCCAACACUCUGCCCUCGGGCACAAAAGCAUAACCAUGCUCGCUCAGAAGUGUCCUGAAAAAUCACAUUCAUAAGUCUCAGCUCCAAAUUCCAUAUCCCCUUUAGCACCACACGAGGUCUGACCGCUUAAUCUGCUCGGUCGUCUGAAGCACCAACCCUGUACUACCCAUCACACGUAGCCCUACCUCUCCCCAACAAAUGGGAGUCCGACACCUCCUCCCAUACAACAGCUCAAAGGGUGGCAUACGAAUGCUCGAAUGAUGGUUGUUGCAAUAGGAAAACUCAGCCAAGGGUAAGUACAUGUCCCAACUCCCUCCAAAAUCCAAUACACAUGCCCGAAGCAUGUCCUUGAGCGUCUGAAUCGUCGGCUCACUCCGCCGGGCUCUCCACAGAAGAGCUUCCACUGACUUCCCCUUCGCAUGAACUAUCUCGGCCCUGUGACACACAAGUCACAAAAUUCUCAAAUGAAAACUACAAUCCAACCGGAAAUCGACUUAGCCCUGACAGAGACGGAGACCCGAGUCUCGCCCCUGGUUCAACCACCAGGCUCCAAAAACUCAAUACUAAGGCUACUCAAGCCUAAAACUCUUCUGCAUCAUACUCUGAUUGGAGAUCACUUCAUCAUCACACUCUCUUAUUGUCUAGCGAGUACUAUUGUUCCCUGCAGCAUCAUGAUGACCUCUCGUCGACUAGUAAGUACUACGACUCCUUGUAGCAUCACAACAGCCUCUGACUAGUGAGUACUACGACUCCCCGUAGCAUCACAACACCAUCUUACUAGUGAAUACUAUGGCUCCCCGUAGUAUCACAACACCAUCUGACUAGUGAAUACUACGGCUCCCCGUAGUAUCACAACUCCCUCUCGCUGACUUGUGAGUACUACGGCUCCCCGUAGCAUCACAACACUCUCUGACUAGUGAAUACUACAGCUCCCCGUAGUAUCACAACUCCCCUCUCUGACUUGUGAGUACUACGACUCCCCGUAGCACUACAACACCCUUUCUCAUCACCCCAUAAUCUCAUUCUCACUACAACACCACACUACGUCCACUAACUCAUGCUCCGCAGACUAUCAUAGAUAGCUACACACACUUGACCCAAAUAUGCAUCAUAGACUCUGACGGCGACCGCCAUAACAAAAUACCUUCCCCUGCUAAGAUCCAUAACCUUAAAUAAUCCUUCUUGUUGACAAUACCCGAAGGGCUCCCACUGGAACCGUAAAUACCUGAUACACCACUAGUCAUUUCAAACUCAAGAUUCUAAAUAACUCCGAAAUCGGGACAUUAUACUCGGUCACCACGGAACACCAUUACGGAACAUCACGAUGUCCUGCCUCAACCACUGAUCUCCUACUCCCAGCACCAUACAGGUACAACAAUACAUUUCCUCUGAACUCCAUGAAUAAUUCUUCUUUUUACCCAAUGCGCAACUUCAGUGUAUCCAAACACUCAAUUGGAAUACAAAGAAAGCGCUAACGCUUCAGAACACGCUGAUGAUCCUCCGAAACCCUUUCCCCUACUGCUCAAUAUCCAAGCAAGAAUACACAUACCGGCCCGGGAGUUGGCUGCUCGAUAAUCUUCUAUCCACCCCAAAAGAGGCAUAUACAAUCCAUACUUCGACCCACAAGUUCUCAACUGCCCAUACCGUCAUUACGAGUCUUCCACUUGAAACGGCCCUGACCACCACCAGAUUCCUGACCAUUGGCCACCUGCCGUGGAGACACCCCUCCUUUCUCNACAUGCAUUAUCUCGCUCUGCACCUUUCCUUGAUCACCAAUGACCCUGGUCUCAUGAAUUCGAGCCGCAGGUUUCUAUAUCCAACCGCUAACCGCUCUUGUACAAAUCUCUGGUUCCCUCAAUAAAAUACCCGGUUCUCCCCCACUUAGGGUUCGAACCAUCACCAGUUGACGCAUCAACACUCUACCCCACAGACGGUUUCCUCCAGAAACAUCGCACCUACGCUUGGAAGGUGCCACACAACGCCCAAUGAUCUCCCCACGUAGAGAUCAAGAAACCUUAAAUACCCUAAAUCUCUGAAGAAAUCCUUAGGGACUUCUCAUCAUGACUGUCUCUAGCCAUUCGAAGUCUCAUACCAUCCCAAUGCUGAACAUCCCAACUGUUCAAUACUAUCACUGACUCUUAGACUGAAACAAUAAAUCAUCAUACUCCUCCUCCUUGACUUCUCAACCCCCGUUCCAACACGUGAAUCAUCACGAGAAUAGGGACUCCACUACCAUACUCAAUGUCCAUCAUAGACAGAAGAGCCACCGCUCUGAUAUACUUGACUGGAUUACCCGUUGAUACCUCUACCACACGCCCUACUAUACUUAAUUAGGGUGUAAUGUGGUCCUUGACCAUCUCAGUCCCCACUGACUACCUGCUCAUGGUAGAUCAUUUCCUUGCGGCAGACAUGCUGCUUGAUACUCUGGUAGAAAAAUCGUCAUCAAUGUCAACCCGUAGGGUUUACUCCUAAACCCAAAACUGAAAUCUCACGCCUCUCCUACUUCCCAUAGGAAACAUAAAUAACACCCAACAAGUCAUAGAAGGUGACAUCUCUUCCAUCGGCUGAUUGGUCACUCAGACCGUAAUCCCUCAUAAAAGCCUCCUCUACUAAUCCCUGAGUCUUGCGACUACAUCUGACAUCUUACCAAGGUACUCUGAAAUGCUCUUGACCCCCCCCCCUCAAGGGAUGCCUUUUCGAACUCAAUUAUGGCCCUCAGGCCUUAAACCCCAUCGUGUCCAACUCCACCAAUCAAUCCUGAUCGGACAACCGAAGAAUCACAAGCAUCCUAUGCUAAGAACCAUGAUACUCAGCCCCUGACAUCUCUUCUCAAUCUACUACAAUGCAUGGCACUCGAAUCUAUAACAUCACCCCUCAAUCUGAUAAGAUGUAUGGUACUCGAACCAUGACAUCACUUCCCAAUCUGCUCCGAUGUAUGGUACUCGAACCAUAACAUCACUUCCCAAUUUGCUUCGAUGUAUGGUACUCGAACCAUAACAUCACUCCUCAAUUUGCUCCGAUGUAUGGCACUCGAACGAUAACAUCACUCCUCAAUCUGCUACGAUGUAUGGCACUCGAACCAUAACAUUACUCCUCAAUCUGCUACGAUGUAUGGCACUCGAACCAUAACAUCACUCCUCAAUCUGCUACUUAGAACCUUCAGAAUACUCCCUGUAUCGAGUAUGGGUCCUCUGCUUUCGGUAGUACGGGCCCAUACUACCUACCACAUCUACCCAUACUUUCCACACGGACCAUCCCAGAGCUCCUAAGUAGUUGCUCAACCUGCUCGUUCACCAAUUCCGUCACGCGUGCUCGCUCCUCAGUGAAAUGCUAUACUCUGCCAGCGCACUCAUCUGGCCAAGGUAACUACCUAGGCUCUUUCUUGGUUCUACCACUUCUCCGCCAUCAGCUGCUGAAGAACUCCUAAUGAUGCCAACCAUCUACCUCCUGAAUAUCGUCAUAUUCACUUAGUAGCUGACUCCCAUCCUCGAGAGCUCCACAAAGCACGAAGCAAGCAGCAUUCGGGAAUCGAAGCAUCUACUUCAGCACGUAAAACCUCCCAAGGUUAUUAUCCACCCGCUUUCCUCAUACUCAAAGGAUAUCACCGAACUCUAACAUCUUCGCCACACAUGGCCUCUGGCUACCCUCUCGUCAGACUCCUCAUAUGCUCAUAUAGAUACCUCUCUUAGAUUACUCCUCUACUCGAAUCCCCUAAAGGAUUCCUGCUGAAUACUCUCACUUAUCUCAUACUCAAAAGCACAUCACAUACAACAGCAACUCCUAGGCUAAGGCAUCACAAAUCAAACCACUCUAGUCCUAAGAUAUGAAAUACCUAGCCUGUCUCUAGCAUGCAUAAUAUCUCAUAAAAUGUAUCAUAAAUAUCUCAUAACAAAGUAAGGGUAUUUUGGGAAAUCACCGUUUGGGCUCUAGCUGAUUGUACACACUGCCGUCCUGUGAUUCUGAGGAAACCUGAAUCACAUAACACAAAACACUGUAAGCAUGAAGCUUAGUGAGUUCCCUAAAAUACCACAUACAACACAUAUUAGCCACUCGAGGCUAUAACUCUGUUGACCCUCUGGUCAAUGUGUCUCAGUGGGACCCUCCAGUCCCAUAACUCUGUGGACCCUCUGGUCCUAAGCUCGUUGGACCUUUUGGUCCGGUCUGCUUGAGCCUUCCGGCCUCAUGAAUCGUUGGACCCUCCGGUCCAGUCUAUAAACUCCGCAUAGCAUAAAUCACAAAGACAUAAUGCAUAGCAUGUCACAUACAACAGGAUAACAUAAUACUCAAUAUAAGAACAUAAGACCUUCCAGACACACAUAACUAUCACUCAAGGUAAAGUAUAGUGAGAAGACUCACCUGGAAACAGAAAGCAGUUAUCCUUACAAUUGAAUCUUGAACUCGCCACCGCCUAACACAUAAGGAAAAUAUCUCUAAUUAGACCAACAAUUUAUCUUUCCCUCUCUAAUCGGGUAGUGGGUAAAAGACCAUUUUACCCCUCUAUUAUCUCUAUUACUUUUGUUGACCAAAACCCCAAAGUCGACAAAAGUCAAUUGAAGUCAAAGGUCAACUCUGACCAGACUCGUCAAGU